ACUUGGGCGUCUCUCGCUCGCGCGCGUGCCGUCACUAAAGUCCAUGCCACGUGAAACAAUUUAGUUUCUCGUUUGUGAUCGGGAAACCUCGCGAUAUCUUAUACUGUACGACCGAGCGUAGGAUUCAAUAGGGAUCGUCGCUAUGACCUCCGCGUUGGAAAACUACAUCAACCGUAGUUGCUGUGAUUACUUCAGAUGGUCGAAUGAUUGUGAGCUGUAAUUGGAGAAAUAGAUGAAGAAACAGAUUCAGCCCUUGACUUGGGAAAUAUUCGAGCAGAACCUUUGAACUCAGUUGUACAUUGAAAGACAAAAGAAUAAGGACUGCUUUACAUAAUUAUUUAUAUAAUAGCAUGACUCCUUUUUAAAAUUUGCAUAAUUUGGAUCAUUUAUAUUUAUUUUUUACUGUUAUAGUUUUAUGUAAAUUAAAGUAUACAUUUUACUACUGACUCAUGUAUUUAGAACUCCAACAUAGCAAUCCGAAAAAGCAACUUUAAAACUGUUACCUAGAAGUGUUAUAGCUUAGAACAUAAGGAAAUGAAAAUUCUAAACUGCUGAUACAAAAGGAAUAUUUUGCUGGGAAAAACGUUCAGGAAAAGCAAUGAUUUUAAAAUUUUAUUAAAUAAAUCAUAUUAACUACAAGUGUACUUAAUAAAUAAUAAAAAUAUUUUUAAUUUCUUAAAAAA